GACAGAGGGUGCAAACGUUGUUCGGAUUUACUGGGCGUAAAGAGCGCGCAGGCGGUCGUUCAAGUCGCGUGUGAAAGCCCCCGGCUCAACUGGGGAGGGUCACGCGAUACUGAUCGACUCGAAGGCAGGAGAGGGUAGUGGAAUUCCCGGUGUAGUGGUGAAAUGCGUAGAUAUCGGGAGGAACACCAGUGGCGAAGGCGACUACCUGGCCUGUUCUUGACGCUGAGGCGCGAAAGCUAGGGGAGCAAACGGG
rnacentral:rRNA from 1 species